rnacentral:rRNA from 1 species
UACGUAGGGUGCGAGCGUUAAUCGGAAUUACUGGGCGUAAAGCGUGCGCAGGCGGUUCGUUGUGUCGGCGGUGAAAGCCCCGGGCUCAACCUGGGAAUGGCAGUGGAAACUAGGGGACUGGAAUCUGGCAGAGGGGGGUGGAAUGCCGCGUGUAGCAGUGAAAUGCGUAGAGAUGCGGCGGAACACCGAUGGCGAAGGCAGCCCCCUGGGCUGAGAUUGACGCUCAGGCACGAAAGCGUGGGGAGCAAACAGG